rnacentral:rRNA from 2 species
UGAACGAGUGGCGGACGGGUGAGUAACACGUGGGUAACCUGCCCUUAAGUGGGGGAUAACAUUUGGAAACAGAUGCUAAUACCGCAUAAAUCCAAGAACCGCAUGGUUCUUGGCUGAAAGAUGGCGUAAGCUAUCGCUUUUGGAUGGACCCGCGGCGUAUUAGCUAGUUGGUGAGGUAACGGCUCACCAAGGCAAUGAUACGUAGCCGAACUGAGAGGUUGAUCGGCCACAUUGGGACUGAGACACGGCCCAAACUCCUACGGGAGGCAGCAGUAGGGAAUCUUCCACAAUGGACGCAAGUCUGAUGGAGCAACGCCGCGUGAGUGAAGAAGGCUUUCGGGUCGUAAAACUCUGUUGUUGGAGAAGAAUGGUCGGCAAGAGUAACUGUUGUCGGCGUGACGGUAUCCAACCAG